UGGGGAAUCUUGCGCAAUGGGCGAAAGCCUGCCGCAGCCAUGCCGCGUGAAUGAUGAAGGUCUUAGGAUUGUAAAAUUCUUUCACCGGGGACGAUAAUGACGGUACCCGGAGAAGAAGCCCCGGCUAACUUCGUGCCAGCAGCCGCGUUAAUACGAAGGGGGCUAGCGUUGCUCGGAAUUACUGGGCGUAAAGGGAGCGUAGGCGGACAUUUAAGUCAGGGGUGAAAUCCCGGGGCUCAACCUCGGAAUUGCCUUUGAUACUGGGUGUCUUGAGUAUGAGAGAGGUGUGAGGAACUCCGGGUGUAGAGGUGAAAUUCGUAGAUAUUCGGAAGAACACCAGUGGCGAAGGCGACACACUGGCUCAUUACUGACGCUGAGGCUCGAAAGCGUGGGGAGCAAACAGG
rnacentral:rRNA from 1 species